rnacentral:rRNA from 1 species
UGGGGAAUUUUGGACAAUGGGGGAAACCCUGAUCCAGCCAUCCCGCGUGUGCGAUGAAGGCCUUCGGGUUGUAAAGCACUUUUGGCAGGAAAGAAACGUCAUGGGUUAAUACCCCGUGAAACUGACGGUACCUGCAGAAUAAGCACCGGCUAACUACGUGCCAGCAGCCGCGGUAAUACGUAGGGUGCAAGCGUUAAUCGGAAUUACUGGGCGUAAAGCGUGCGCAGGCGGUUCGGAAAGAAAGAUGUGAAAUCCCAGAGCUCAACUUUGGAACUGCAUUUUUAACUACCGAGCUAGAGGGUGUCAGAGGGAGAUGGAAUUCCGCGUGUAGCAGUGAAAUGCGUAGAUAUGCGGAGGAACACCGAUGGCGAAGGCAGCCUCCUGGGAUAACACUGACGCUCAUGCAAGAAAGCGUGGGAAGCAAACAGG